rnacentral:rRNA from 2 species
UUUAUAUGAGAGUUUGAUCCUGGCUCAGGAUGAACGCUGGCGGCGUGCCUAAUACAUGCAAGUCGAACGAGUUCUGAUUAUUGAAAGGUGCUUGCAUCUUGAUUURAUUUUGAACGAGUGGCGGACGGGUGAGYAACACGUGGGUAACCUGCCCUUAAGUGGGGGAUAACAUUUGGAAACAGAUGCUAAUACCGCAUAAAUCCAAGAACCGCAUGGUUCUUGGCUGAAAGAUGGCGUAAGCUAUCGCUUUUGGAUGGACCCGCGGCGUAUUAGCUAGUUGGUGAGGUAACGGCUCACCAAGGCAAUGAUACGUAGCCGAACUGAGAGGUUGAUCGGCCACAUUGGGACUGAGACACGGCCCAAACUCCUACGGGAGGCAGCAGUAGGGAAUCUUCCACAAUGGACGCAAGUCUGAUGGAGCAACGCCGCGUGNAACACGUGGGUAACCUGCCCUUAAGUGGGGGAUAACAUUUGGAAACAGAUGCUAAUACCGCAUAAAUCCAAGAACCGCAUGGUUCUUGGCUGAAAGAUGGCGUAAGCUAUCGCUUUUGGAUGGACCCGCGGCGUAUUAGCUAGUUGGUGAGGUAACGGCUCACCAAGGCAAUGAUACGUAGCCGAACUGAGAGGUUGAUCGGCCACAUUGGGACUGAGACACGGCCCAAACUCCUACGGGAGGCAGCAGUAGGGAAUCUUCCACAAUGGACGCAAGUCUGAUGGAGCAACGCCGCGUGAGUGAAGAAGGCUUUCGGGUCGUAAAACUCUGUUGUUGGAGAAGAAUGGUCGGCAGAGUAACUGUUGUCGGCGUGACGGUAUCCAACCAGAAAGCCACGGCUAACUACGUGCCAGCAGCCGCGGUAAUACGUAGGUGGCAAGCGUUAUCCGGAUUUAUUGGGCGUAAAGCGAGCGCAGGCGGUUUUUUAAGUCUGAUGUGAAAGCCCUCGGCUUAACCGAGGAAGUGCAUCGGAAACUGGGAAACUUGAGUGCAGAAGAGGACAGUGGAACUCCAUGUGUAGCGGUGAAAUGCGUAGAUAUAUGGAAGAACACCAGUGGCGAAGGCGGCUGUCUGGUCUGUAACUGACGCUGAGGCUCGAAAGCAUGGGUAGCGAACAGGAUUAGAUACCCUGGUAGUCCAUGCCGUAAACGAUGAAUGCUAGGUGUUGGAGGGUUUCCGCCCUUCAGUGCCGCAGCUAACGCAUUAAGCAUUCCGCCUGGGGAGUACGACCGCAAGGUUGAAACUCAAAGGAAUUGACGGGGGCCCGCACAAGCGGUGGAGCAUGUGGUUUAAUUCGAAGCAACGCGAAGAACCUUACCAGGUCUUGACAUCUUUUGAUCACCUGAGAGAUCAGSUUUCCCCUUCGGGGGCAAAAUGACAGGUGGUGCAUGGUUGUCGUCAGCUCGUGUCGUGAGAUGUUGGGUUAAGUCCCGCAACGAGCGCAACCCUUAUGACUAGUUGCCAGCAUUUAGUUGGGCACUCUAGUAAGACUGCCGGUGACAAACCGGCGCCUACACGAAGUCGGAAUCGCUAGUAAUCGCGGAUCAGCACGCCGCGGUGAAUACGUUCCCGGGCCUUGUACACACCGCCCGUCACACCAUGAGAGUUUGUAACACCCGAAGCCGGUGGCGUAACCCUUUUAGGGAGCGAGCCGUCUAAGGUGGGACAAAUGAUUAGGGUGAAGUCGUAACAAGGUAGCCGUAGGAGAACCUGCGGCUGGAUCACCUCCUUUCUAAGGAA